UGCCAGCCGCCGCGGUAAUACGGAGGAUGCAAGCGUUAUCCGGAAUCAUUGGGUUUAAAGGGUCCGUAGGCGGGCAAUUAAGUCAGAGGUGAAAGUUUGCGGCUCAACCGUAAAAUUGCCUUUGAUACUGGUUGUCUUGAAUCAUUGUGAAGUGGUUAGAAUAUGUAGUGUAGCGGUGAAAUGCAUAGAGAUUACAUAGAAUACCAAUUGCGAAGGCAGAUCACUAACAAUGUAUUGACGCUGAGGGACGAAAGCGUGGGGAGCGAACAGGAUUAGAUA
rnacentral:rRNA from 1 species